rnacentral:lncRNA from 1 species
GUUGCUUCGACGCAAAGUGUUUAGUUGGAUUUCUUUCCGUGCGUUUAAACUCUGUGUCGAAUAUGGCUAACUUGCGAUGUUUACUUGUUUUGUGUUCGAUUCUGUACGUGUCGACUAAUUCAGAAGACUUCGGCAAUGGUGAAAUGGACGAUUGUUGCUCAAAAUGCGAUUGCAUAAAUCAUAGCUAUCAUACAGAAAACAUCUAUGAAAUUGAUUGCUCGAAUAGGAACCUUAAUGAAGUACCUAACUGUCCAUGGGAGAACACCACAGAAGUGUAAGUAUACAUUGAAAAGGUUUUAAAACAAGACAUUUCAUACAAUCAUAGUCAAUAAUCUUUAUCUUACUAACAUCUGUUUCACUUCAUAAUUGUGAGCCGAUUGUUUUUGCUUCUCAAAGCAGGGUCAGCUGUCAGCUACUUGUUCAAUUAUCAUUCGACGCUCUUGCAAAGUAACACUUAUUGCGCAUAGCGAACACUUGUUUAAACCGACUUUUUACACAUCACAAUUUGUCGGCCCAUUUGAGAUCGGUUUACUUUAAUGUUAUUUGAAAAUUUUACGCCAACUAACGAAAUCACACACGUAAAAUAUUUGUCGUUAAAACGGUCAUCAAACUAUGAACUCGGGCACGCAAGUUGCAAUGUGUAAAGGAGUCCUUACAUUCGCGUGGAUAUGAAUGAUGAUAAUGACCUAAAGACUCCUGAUAGUUGAAAAGCCCAAAUAGAAUGCGUUUCCUUCGUUGUAUUUAUUUACACUUAUCGCGAUGUCGCAAGUUUGUGUUAUGCCGUUGUUGGUUUAGGCACCGCAAAUCGAAAUUGAAUUCUUUGUUCAUUCGCGAUGUUUCGCGAGUCUUAUAACUCGACAAAUAAAGAAUCUACUCCUCUCCUACAGUACGCAAGAAUCAGGACUAAUACGAAAUACAGAAUCAAAUAAACUCCGAAUUACGGUGCCAUCUUGACAAAUAUUACAAAUUCGUAGUAUUUCUCAACAUUUUACCUCAAUAUCUUGAGUACUUCAAGAUGGUGCUAUUAUUAGGAAUUUGUUUCAUUCUGUAUAGCGCAUGUUGUAUGAAACAAUGCGUCGGCUGUUUGAUAGUCUUCAAGCAGUAUGCCUGCCUUGCUAACAGGAAACUCUUCAUGCGAAUUAAUAUAUAGGCGCGCAAUGAUUAAAACAUGCGGUGUAUCACUCGAUUAAAGCGGCUAGGAAUCGACGAUUUUUACAUAUUUUCAAGAGCAUUAGGCAAAAGUAUCCCGAUCUUAUAUUCGUUUGCGCAAAUGUAUAUCUUGCGUCCCUUACCAUGCGCUUUUAUGCAUGGACGCAUUUGAGUAUAAUAGUAUAUCGCAUUCCUUUGAUAUAUGACUGCACAUGACUGCAUUAGCGCUCAAUUGCGCAUUUCAAUAUCACUGACAUCAUUUAAGAUAUUGCUCAGUUCGUUACUCCCACUCCUUUCAUAUUUCAGUCACUAUUAAAAUGAUAAGAACGCCAUUCAUGUUAACACUUUCAAUGCGUAAAUAUAUUGGCUUUAAUUUUAUCCCUUAGGCUGAAUAGAUAUUGAUUAUUGAGUUUUACUAUAAAUACAUCGGCUACCGCACUGAUGUUUGUGAACGUACGCGCGUUUGAACAAAUCUUGAAAUACAUUAGAAUACCGCAACAAACAUGCGAUAUGUUCCGUAGGGAAGAGAAUUACAGUUCGGAACAGAAUUUCGGUAACAAUUUUAUGGCCAUGCAAGCGAACCAUGGUAACGUCAUGUUUCCUGAUAAGCAUGCACUUUGGUAUAGGCUAAAGACGUACAAUUUUAAAGAUUGAAUCAUGUAAAUAAUACAAUUUUUGCACAGCAUGGCCAGCUACAAUGGUUAGUAUUUCCGCUGAGCUAAAUUUACAUUGAUUCGUGGCGGCUACUAAUAUAUAUUCAAUUCUGCUUUAACCUAACCGCGUGACAGAAAAUCCGUCUUAGGAAUUGAUACAAUUAGAUACGAUUAGCCUUUGAUAGCUGUGCAUUUUUCUGUACAAAUAUAUAGAAAUAGGUUUAAUAAACAUCAGAAUAAUUGAAAUAUUUAACCUUGCACUACAAUUAAAAUUAUUUUAAAACUUAUAUUCUAGUUUCCAAUGAGAGAGACUACAAAUACUGGUAAUUCCUAUCAUGGAAAAGCAGUUUUGCCAUGCAAAAGAAUGUACGAGAGCGCCAAUGGAAAACGUCAUUUUAAAUUAAUCAUUUAUGAACAUGACGAUUCGUGUAUUAUCAGAGAGGGCACCCAAAUUAUUUUGAUUAAUUCAUUUUGUUUCUCUAGAAAUCUUCGUGAAAACAAAAUCCAAAAGAUUUCCAAAGAAACUUUUCGAAGAUUCAAGAACAUUCAAGAACUG